GGGACCUGUGCGCGUUAGUGUAUCGGUGACACGAGUCACCGAGGUGCCGAAGGGAAACCGUGAAACGUGCCGCCUGGGAAGUACGGUCGCAAGGCUGAAACUUAAAGGAAUUGGCGGGGGAGCACCACAACAGGUGGAGCCUGCGGUUUAAUCGGACUCAACGCCGGGAAACUCACCGGAUAAGACAGCUGAAUGAUAGCCGGGCUGAAGACUCUGCUUGACUAGCUGAGAGGAGGUGCAUGGCAA
rnacentral:rRNA from 1 species